AAAUUGAAGAGUUUGAUCAUGGCUCAGAUUGAACGCUGGCGGCAGGCCUAACACAUGCAAGUCGAGCGGCAGCGGGAA
rnacentral:rRNA from 2 species